UGUAUUGGAUGUAAAUGAGCAACUGGUGUCUACACUGGUGAAUGGAACAAAAAACUACUUAAACAUCACCCUGCAAAAUUUGGAGGUUCUUAUAUAUGUGGUGGAUGAAUCUCAUUUCUCGAAUCGAGAAUCUAACACCAAUUUCGAACUUAAAACAAUGAAUGCCUCCAUGGAUAUCGAUCUCAUUAGCAUCUUAAAGACUAAUAAAGAAUCAGCUGCAGUGGCCUUCAUGAGUUACGCUGACAUGGAAGACUUCCUGAAACCUAACGACCAAAUGAAAGCCUUGAUGUCCAAUGUGGUGUCAGUAACACUCCCUAAAACCCAGAACAAGUGGCUCACCCAACCAAUCAACAUCACCUUUAAAC